rnacentral:piRNA from 1 species
UACUCUUAAGAGGAGAAUUAGGUAGCAGU